AUUGAACGCUGGCGGCAUGCCUUACACAUGCAAGUCGAACGGUAACGGGCCUUCGGGUUCCGACGAGUGGCGAACGGGUGAGUAAUACAUCGGAACGUGCCCGAUCGUGGGGGAUAACGAGGCGAAAGCUUUGCUAAUACCGCAUACGAUCUACGGAUGAAAGCAGGGGACCGCAAGGCCUUGCGCGGACGGAGCGGCCGAUGGCAGAUUAGGUAGUUGGUGGGAUAAAAGCUUACCAAGCCGACGAUCUGUAGCUGGUCUGAGAGGAUGAUCAGCCACACUGGGACUGAGACACGGCCCAGACUCCUACGGGAGGCAGCAGUGGGGAAUUUUGGACAAUGGGCGCAAGCCUGAUCCAGCCAUGCCGCGUGCAGGAUGAAGGCCUUCGGGUUGUAAACUGCUUUUGUACGGAACGAAAAGCCUUCUUUUAAUACAGGAGGGUCAUGACGGUACCGUAAGAAUAAGCACCGGCUAACUACGUG
rnacentral:rRNA from 1 species